rnacentral:rRNA from 1 species
GAUGAACGCUGGCGGCGUGCUUAACACAUGCCAGUCGAACGAUGAAGCCCAGCUUGCUGGGUGGAUUAGUGGCGAACGGGUGAGUAACACGUGAGUAACCUGCCCUUGACUCUGGGAUAAGCCUGGGAAACUGGGUCUAAUACUGGAUAUGACUUCUCAUCGCAUGGUGGGGGGUGGAAAGAUUUAUUGGUCUUGGAUGGACUCGCGGCCUAUCAGCUUGUUGGUGAGGUAAUGGCUCACCAAGGCGACGACGGGUAGCCGGCCUGAGAGGGUGACCGGCCACACUGGGACUGAGACACGGCCCAGACUCCUACGGGAGGCAGCAGCGGGGAAUAUUGCACAAUGGGCGCAAGCCUGAUGCAGCGACGCCGCGUGAGGGAUGACGGCCUUCGGGUUGUAAACCUCUUUCAGUAGGGAAGAAGCGAGAGUGACGGUACCUGCAGAAGAAGCGCCGGCUAACUACGUG